GGGCCAACCUGGAGUCACAGGCCAACCUGGCAGGGCCUGUCUACCCUCUCCUCUCUGGCCACCAAGCCCUCCAGUUCCUGUGGAGCAGCACAGGACAGCAUGAAGGAAAAGCAGCAAGGUUAGAGGCAGUCAGAAAGGCUAACCACGUCAGACACAUCAGUCGGGCAGCCCAAGCAAGCCGGAGGGCCUUUUCAGAAGCUGCUUUGUCGAGGUGGCGUGGAGGUGAGUGGUGAGAUGGAAGGUGAGCACCAGACAGACCCACCACCACAAGCCCAGGUGGCGGCUGAAUCCACUUGCUCGAAGCAGCGCUGCUCGGUCAUCCCUUGAAAGGGUAGCUUUUGGGGCCAUUAGCUGAAGCCAAGGCAGGCCCUGGGGGACAAGCAGGGACCACCAUCUGAAUCACCUUCAAAUGAGCCCAAGGCAACCUCGGACAGGGCGAGCGAGUACCUGCAGGUGCCCCUGAAGCUGCUGAGGGAUCCCCAGCCCCUUCCCUGUGCUGCCGCUGGGUCCAGUCUGCUGGAGGAGGGCUGGAAGACAACAGAGACUCUCCAAGUGGGGGUCAGCCCAGCCCCAGCCAGCCCUGAGGGGAGUGCUUUGCUGACACCAAGACCCAAGGCCUCCACUGGGACAGGACCUCUCACUCAGCAGGGGCCACUGUCAGGCAGGGCUGCCAGCUGAGGGCCCUAGCACAAGCCUGACAAAAGGCUCUCAAGGGACACAAAAGCACCAGACUUGCUCUCCUCAGUGUGCACAAAGGGUUGAGACCGUCACCCAUUUACACCUGGGCUGGAGAUCCUGCCCCCAAUCACAGAAGAGCCACCUCAUGACCCCAGCAAGCUAUGGAGAGGCCAGCUGGGUGCAGGUGACAGGACCCAGCCACCCACCGCUGCCCUGGUAGGACUAGGCAGGAGGGGCCACCCCCUGCCAUUGAACUUCGAGAGAGCCCUAGGGAUCCGUCUUCUUUCUCCAAUGGGAGCCCUGCCCGCUUAUGCAGGGCUGGGUGGAAACAAAAAUGCUGAGAAAAUGGGGAGGCAGGUGCCCCAUGGGAGCAGCAAGAGACCCUGUGCUGUGCCCUCCAGGGAGGAGGCUCUCAGGAGACACCAGCAAGCCACGAUGGGGGACCCCAUGACAGGUAGCCAUGCCUGUCACCUGGAAGGCUGGCCAGCAGAGAGCCUCCCAGGACAGGCAGCACAGCCCCAACACCCCUGAGCAUGCACAUGUGCUAGGAGGACCUGCUGCACUGACAGCACCACCUCUGCCAAUGAAGAGCAAGUUCGAGUUUAAGCACUUCCUUGAGGAUACACACACACAAAAUCCUACAGCUCUCCAGUAAAAAUGGCCCAGAAGUGUGAAGCAAUGACUCUUCCCACAAAUGGUCAGCCCCUUUUCUCUUGCAGUUUACCUGGCAGCAGCAGGAGCUUGCUGAAAAGAGAAUGCAGCACAGGGAAGAAAGCCAACUGCCAGAGAAGCAGUCUCACAAACACCAGAGCGAAGACCCAGGGGAAAACAACCUGAGUCCCUUGCUCUGCUCCUGGAACAAGCUGGACUCCAGGCUGCAGGGCCUACCACCAAAACCAGCUCCCCUCUCUCAAGCCCUCCAAGAGCUCUUUCCUGAGAGGCAGACAGUGCCCAGAGCACUCAAGCCUCCAUUAGCAGCCCAGGGUUCAAGGGCACUGUGAGGACCAAGCUCUGGGAGGUACUUGUGGCUACCAGGACCCAUGGAGCAGGCUGCUGACAUGGCUCUGGCACAGGUGGACCCCAGCAGGACUCGGUGAGCAAACCCCUGGCCCUCCACAGCAAGGACGCAGGCAGGUGCUCCAACGUACAUGCCAAGGGGUAUGGGGGUGCACAAGCCUGACAGCCUAUGCUGACCCAUGAGGGCAUUUCUUCCAGAGCCAACACAAGACCUGGUAGCAGUCCCUGCCCAGGACACUCCUGGCUAGAAGACUUGAGCAAGUUCAAGUUGCAAAUUCGGAGGCUCUCUGGGAGGAGUUGGCUCCCCAGGCCCUGCCCUCCACGCUACCUUGCAUCCUCUGGAUGCCACCUCAGGUAGUCUGUGCCCAGGUCACCCAAUCACAGACACAUAGUUGGGCACCCAGAUUGUCUACCCUCCACAGGGAGAAGUUGGUGGUGCAGGGGUGGGGUCUGCUGGUGGGCCCAGCCUGUGCAUCAGACUCCAACCCGCAGCACCUCUCUCAGGGCUCACCUGGCCCAGUCUGUGGACCAGUGCUUCCCCACACAACUUUCUGCAUUUUCAGUGCCCAAAAGGACAGUGACUAGCACUUGAAAUGUGGACAGAGUGCCUGAGAAAGUGGCUUUUUUAGUCAAUCACACAGUGGGGCAGCUGCACAGGACAGAACAGUGUAUAUGCACAUGGGAGGGAUGCCUUUGGUCCUUUUUUUGUGGGGAGGGGAACUCCAAGACCUCAAAUUCCCACUCAGCCACUUUUCUGUGCCUGACUCCUGGGUAUUCAUUCCGGCCUUACUCAAAAAUGCCAGCCUGUCCUACGGCAAGAGGUGGGCCCUGCACACUGAGACCCAGAAGGUUGACAUUAGCUGCCCAAGCCACCCCAUGCCAGGCUUAGCCAGGCCCCAAAAUGUCCUUGCCUCAAAUGCCAUUGAAUGUCAGUUCUAUUUCCACCCAGCUCAUGGUGCCCUGGCCCCCACCUGCCCAGCCACAGUGCUCCCUGGGCCAUUCCAGCCCCUAUGACACACCUCACACACACCUGGACCAGGAGAGUGACAUUUUACACAGCAAGGAACUAAGGCUCCGAGUGCUCACAGCUGCUGAGUCAAGAAGAUGAAGAGCUGGGGACCCAUGGCAUGCUUCUACCCCAGAAUUUGGUGCAAAUGUCUCACUGCCAUCGGCUUCCAACACUUAUAUGCCAUCAUAAAACACUGGCACAGGAGGAUGGCCUUCCCAUACUCAAUGCCAACAUUUCCUGCACUCAGCCCUCAAAAAGCUAAUGAAAAAGUGCAUGGCACA